rnacentral:rRNA from 1 species
AGUGAACGCUGGCGGUAGGCCUAACACAUGCAAGUCGAACGGCAGCACAGUAAGAGCUUGCUCUUACGGGUGGCGAGUGGCGGACGGGUGAGGAAUACAUCGGAAUCUACUUUUUCGUGGGGGAUAACGUAGGGAAACUUACGCUAAUACCGCAUACGACCUACGGGUGAAAGCAGGGGAUCUUCGGACCUUGCGCGAUUGAAUGAGCCGAUGUCGGAUUAGCUAGUUGGCGGGGUAAAGGCCCACCAAGGCGACGAUCCGUAGCUGGUCUGAGAGGAUGAUCAGCCACACUGUAACUGAGACACGGUCCCGACUCCUACGGGAGGCAGCAGUGGGGAAUAUUGGACAAUGGGCGCAAGCCUGAUCCAGCCAUACCGCGUGGGUGAAGAAGGCCUUCGGGUUGUAAAGCCCUUUUGUUGGGAAAGAAAAGCAGCAGGUUAAUACCCCGCUGUUCUGACGGUACCCAAAGAAUAAGCACCGGCUAACUUCGUG